UUACUCAAGUGUCUACCUUUUAACAGAUUGAGGUUGAACUAUUUCGGUAGACACACCUUCUGUGGCUGGGAGUGAUAUUAGACGAAUUAACAAAUUGGUGAUAAACUCAAAACGCUUCGUCGAUCUAUAAGGGUCCGGUGUUCCAUGUGUAGAAGUUUUGGGAAUCUCGCAGGAUCAUCGUUCAAAGCUGUCUAAGUGGUAUCUCGCGUUCACUUUGGUGCGAGGAUCAGCCCUACGACCUAACACAACCUAGGCGUCGUUGCAAAUGCUUUAUUUACGUGGAUUUGAUAUACACCCAACAUUAUAAUUAUCUUGUUUAUCAACACUCAAGCCAAAAAGAGAUAUUUUUAGAGGGUUAGCCUCAACGCAUGAAGGCGCCACUGUCACAAGAGGAAUAUUUACUAUGAUGGGGAUGUUUAUCCUCGCCGUGCAUUUUUCAACCGGGUUAAAGAAGUCAGAUCUUUGCUUAGUCGUGUGUAUGAUGCUAAAAGAAGACUGUGUGAACAAAAAAUCCCGUUCGAUAAAUGGGACACAACUCUGUCUUAGGAAAACGGACAUCAACAUACCGGAAGCCAAUGAAAAGGGCCUCAGCUUGCUAUGCGCAGCUUAAGGGAGCUUUAAGAAACUCUCCAACGGCGGCUCUUGAACUUGUGCUAAACCUGCCACCUAUAGAUCUCUUCGCUGAAAACUGCGCAGUAAAAUCGGCGGGACGACUACUGGCUGCAGGAGAAUUUACAUAUAAAACCUGGCGGUCUGGCAAGCACCGACUACAUGAUCUCACUUUUUAAUUGCAAAAGAAAGUUCAGAGUAAACAUAGGAAAAGAAGGUAGGAUUUAUUUGGAUAGCUCGAAAUUGGAGGACGGAAUUGGUACGGGGAUCCAGAGUUAGGCACAAAGCAGCCUUUUAAGCUGUCGGACCACUACCAUAUAUUUGAAGCAGAGGCCUUUGCUAUUGGGAAAGUUGUGCAGCUAGCCUCUUAUGCAUCAGCAGGCAACUCCAGAGUUAACAUUUACGUAGCCAGCCAAGCUGCAAACAAGGUUAUAAGCGUGUUUCACAUGUCGGCCAAAAGUGGGCAUCAGCAAUGGGGCUGUCACCCGAAAACGUGAUCAACAUUGGUAAGCCCAUGCAUUGUCUAUAGGUACAACGAAAGAUCUUUAUCACCUUGGAAUUUUCUAGAGAAUUGGAGUAUGAGAUUUAUGUGCUUAUGGAAAUCUUCAUACAAAGCAGUGAGCUAUAUUUUAUAAUGACCCACAAAAAAAUUCAACUUGCUAUGUGUGACUGACGUUGAUUUUAUCAGAUGAUGUGCGAACUCAAAUAACGUUAGUGAUUUUCUAAACUAAAAAUUUUUUUUUACAAAAAAAAGUAAGCAAACAUAAUAAAAAGGGAAAUCAUGUAGAAAUUUCAAGGAAAUGUGUGCAAGCUAAAAUAACAGAUUAAGAGGUAAAUAUAGUUCUAAGUAGAAAAAAAUGAAGAAUAAAGUCAAAAGAACUUGCAAACUAAGCGCGAAAGCUUGCCAAGCUUAAUACAAAAAUAUUUCAACGCGCCCAGACGGACGACGCCAACUGGAGCGUGACACAAACAUUUGAUUACAUAGAACCCCAAAAAGAAAGAAAAAUAAAACAAAUAAAGAAAUCAAUAAAUGUAAGAAAAAUAGCAAAUGCACACACUUGGACGCUGAAGUUUAGUAAUUCACUGUUAUUUUUGGCCCUCAAUUCACUUUAUUGCCUUUUCGUUUUCUUUUACAACAAAGCUUAAGUGCUACAAGCCGAGUUGGCUGCGCUCACACACAUAGAAGCACAAACGAAAACAUUGCCAAGAAAUGAAUUUUUGCAUUCCAACGCCUAAUCGCCGAGAGAAAACAAAAACGAAGAGUUGUAUGGCGAAUAAGUUGCCAGGCCAUAAGCAAAUAUUGUUCGUCUAUCGCUUUUUUACGCAUACCUAUACCAUGGUCCGCAAAUAUUUUCAACACUCCCAACUCUGAUAUCACUACGCUCAUAUUGUUUUUGUACGUAUCAUAUUGUUUUUGUUUGCAACCGAAAAGUCUUCAAUAUUUUCCAGUUCGCAGCCUAUACCUACCUAUUUACCGAUUUGGGUUUGAGCCAAUCUCAUCGCACACUUGCUAUGCUUUUGUAGGUCACGUCGUGACAGCAGUUGUUAGAAAAGUAAGCUUUUUUAGAUUCGAGCGGAAACGGAACUUAGAUAAUGGAUCAACACAGAAUUAGUCGCGAAAGUUUGUAAUAGCCUACCGAGUGGCGACUUUUAGUAAAAACUUCUUCUAUAAUAUUGGAAUUGAGCUUGAACAUAUUUGAAUUGCCGAUCUGGUCAAGAUUUCCUCGAACGCUAUUAUGGUCCACAUUAACACGAACCUACCAAAAGCGGUUUACACGAUUUAAAAGAGGUGAUUUUGGCUUCGAAAACGAGAAAUGUCCCGGGCGGCCAAAAACGUUAAAAAUGGAGAAAUCGCAAUCAUUUCUCGAUGAAGAUUGUUGCCCAACCAAAGAAGAGCUUGCAGCAUUUUUGGGAGUCACUUAGGCAACCAUUUAAAACGCUUAAAAACAGCCGAAUACAUUGAAAAGCAAGGAAGGCGGUUGAAUUAAAGGUUAUUUCAGAUCUUUCCUUGGAACCUUCGGUUUGGACUGGCAUAUCCUUAUACUUUUGUUUGUAGUCUGAAAGUUGUAUCUUGUUACGACUAUCAUUUCAGCAGACUGUAAGAAAAACUGCGCGGUGGGAUUUAAAAAGCAUGGUGUCUAGAAAGUUUUUGUGUUUUACAGUUUAUCACUUUCUCUAACAGCCUUAGUUUUUAUUAAACUUCAUCGAAGGAGAAACCAUGUAUUUUCGAAAUAAAUGGGUGUUCUUCACCACGAUCGAAAAUUCAACAAAAUCGAAAUAAGUGUUAAAUCUUUGAAUCAAGGUUACGUAACGGAAAAAGCGGUAAGAUUCGUGAAUCUUUUUUUAUUAUUUCUUCAUUGGUUUCAUUCACUUGAAGCAGUGUUUCCAGAGCUUCUAGUAAUUUAUUGCCGUUAUAAAGUUUUAUAAUACACACUCGCCACAUUUUGGAUGCGGGUAUAAACUAUACACGUGUUUUUACAUUACUGUGUGUUGAUGAAAGGGGUAGGUGUGUAAGAAGUACCAGAAGUAACGGUUGUAUGACUUAACACGUGUUGGCAGCGCCGUUAUAAGUCGUGUGACUACAUAAAUUGUGUGUG